rnacentral:rRNA from 1 species
CCUACGGGAGGCAGCAGUAGGGAAUCUUUCACAAUGGGCGAAAGCCUGAUGCAGCAACGCCGCGUGCAGGAUGAAGGCCUUCGGGUUGUAAACUGCUUUUAUAAGCGAGAAAUAUGAUGGUAACUUAUGAAUAAUGAUCGUCUAACUACGUUCCAGAAGCCGCGGUCAUACGUAGGAUCCGGGCAUUAUCCGGAGUGACUGGGUGUAAAGAGUUGCGUAGGUGGCAUAAUAAGUAGCUAGUGAAAUCUGGUGGCUCAAACAUUCAGACUAUUGGCUAAACUGUUAAGCUCGAGACCGUUAGGGGUAACUGGAAUGUGUGGUGUAGGAGUGAAAUCCGUAGAUAUUA